rnacentral:sRNA from 1 species
GCGUGCUUCUCUCCCGAAGUUGUGCACCCGGUGUAAGAGAUCAACCUGCCUCGGUAGAGUACCACCGUUCUUCUGUCAAGGGUAUAUGAGUAGCUGCGGUCCCUCUGCUAGAAGUUCCAAACAUGAAGUUACAGCUGACUGAAUGAAAAACAUAAACCCUGAAUAUGAACAACAGAGGUACUGAGAAGU